GGGUUCGAUUCUGGCUCAGGAUGAACGCUGGCGGCGUGCUUAACACAUGCAAGUCGAACGGGCGAAUUAUAUCGGAGGUCUUCGGGCCGAAGAGAUAAUAAGCUAGUGGCGGACGGGUGCGUAACGUGUGGGUAAUCUGCCUUUGUCAUAGGAAUAACUGCUUGAAAAAGUAGCUAAUACCAAAUAACAUAUCGUAUAGGCAUCUAUAAGAUAUCAAAGAGAAAUCGGACAAAGAUGAGCCCGCAUCUGAUUAGCUGGUUGGUAGGGUAAAAGCCUACCAAGGCGACGAUCAGUAGCCGGCCUGAGAGGGUGAACGGCCACAUUGGAACUGAGACACGGUCCAAACUCCUACGGGAGGCAGCAGUGGGGAAUAUUGCACAAUGGGGGGAACCCUGAUGCAGCAACGCCGCGUGAGUGAAGAAGGCUUUCGAGUCGUAAAACUCUGUUGUAAGGGAAGAUAAUGACCGUCCUAAAGAGCC
rnacentral:rRNA from 1 species